rnacentral:rRNA from 1 species
GAUGAACGCUGGCGGCGUGCCUAAUACAUGCAAGUCGAGCGAACGGACGCGAAGCUUGCUUCUCUGAUGUUAGCGGAGGACGGGAGAGUAACACGUGGAUAACCUCCCUAUAAGACUGGGAUAACUUCGGGACACCGGAGCUAAUACCGGAUAAUAUUUUGAACCGCAUGGUUCAAAAGUGAAAGACGGUGUUGCUGGCACUUCUCGAUGGUUCCGCGCUGCAUUAGCUAGUUGGUAAGGUAACGGCUUACCAAGGCUACGAUGCAUAGCCGACUGGAGAGAGUGGUCGGCGACACGGGAACGGAGACACGGUCCUGACUACUACGGGAGGCAGCAGAAGGGAAUCUUCGGCAGUAGGCGGAAGCCUGACGGAGCAAGGGCGCGCGAGUGACGGAAGUCUUCGGAUCGUAAAGCCGUGUUACUAGGUAUAAACAUAUGUGUACGUAACUGUAGACAUCGUGACGGUACCUAAUCAGAAAGCCACGGCUAACUACGUG